ACGUAGGGGGCAAGCGUUAUCCGGAUUUACUGGGUGUAAAGGGAGCGUAGACGGUGGAGCAAGUCUGGAGUGAAAGGCCGGGGCCCAACCCCGGGACUGCUUUGGAAACUGUUCGACUGGAGUACAGGAGGAGUAAGUGGAAUUCCUAGUGUAGCGGUGAAAUGCGUAGAUAUUAGGAGGAACACCAGUGGCGAAGGCGGCUUACUGGACUGUAACUGACGUUGAGGCUCGAAAGCGCGGGGAGCAAACAGGAUUAGAUACCCUGGUAGUCCACGCCGUAAACGAUGAUCACUAGGUGUCGGGGGUUAAAGAACCCCCGGUGCCGCCGCUAACGCAAUAAGUGAUCCACCUGGGGAGUACGUUCGCAAGAAUG
rnacentral:rRNA from 1 species